UCCAGUAUGUAACCCAAAUCCUGGAUUGCUAUAUAAUAGUUAUUGGUUGUGAUCUUAAUUUUCUUGUCUGAAACAAUGAUGAUGAUGAUGAUGAUACCUACUUCUGGAUGUUGUAACUCCAUCCAUUAAAUGGUGAUACUAAUGAAGCCUACGUCAUAGAAUUGAGGAAAGGAAGACAAUUUGGGAAAGUGGACAUACAACCUUAACUUGUAGAAGGGGCAGAAGAGUUAAGCUUCCUGCAUUGUGAAACUUUUGGAACUCUGGGUUCUGUUAGCAUUUGCAGACUAAACAUGGGGUGAAGACUGGGAAAUGAGAUGGUAUUGUUGCAAGACAUGAGGUGAGCAGAAUUGUCAGAGAUUGGUCAUUGCCAUACUCA
rnacentral:lncRNA from 1 species